UACGUAGGGAGCAAGCGUUGUCCGGAAUCAUUGGGCGUAAAGCGCGCGUAGGCGGCCUGUUAAGUCGAACGUGAAAUCCCCGGGCUCAACCCGGGAACUGCGUCCGAUACUGGCAGGCUUGAAUCCGGGAGAGGGAUGCGGAAUUCCAGGUGUAGCGGUGAAAUGCGUAGAUAUCGUGAGGAACACCAGAGGCGAAGGCGGCUACCUGGACAAUUGCUGACGCUCAGGCACGAAAGCGUGGGGAGCAAAAGGG
rnacentral:rRNA from 1 species